rnacentral:sRNA from 1 species
UCCUACGUGAAGAGGAAGGAGUUAUGC